rnacentral:siRNA from 1 species
AGGGCACGUCUGCCUGGGUGUCA